ensembl:lncRNA
CUCUCCCUCAGCCGAGUGUCAUCUAACUUCUUUUCAAGUUCACUCUCCCUCAGCCGAGUGUCAUCUAACUUCUUUUCAAGUUCUCUCUCCCUCAGCCGAGUGUCAUCUAACUUCUUUUCAAGUUCGCCCUCCCUAAGCCGAGAAUCACCCAACUUCUUUUCAAGUUCUCUCUCUCUCAGCUGAGUGUCAUCUAACUUCUUUUCAAGUUCACUCUCUCUCAGCUGAGUGUCAUCUAACUUCUUUUCAAGUUCGCCCUCCCUAAGCCGAGAAUCACCCAACUUCUUUUCAAGUUCGCCCUCCCUAAGCCAAGAGUCACCCAACUUCUUUUCAAGUUCUCUCUCCCUCAGCAGAGUGUCAUCUAACUUCUUUUCAAGUUCACUCUCUCUCAGCUGAGUGUCAUCUAACUUCUUUUCAAGUUCGCCCUCCCUAAGCCGAGACUCACCCAACUUCUUUUCAAGUUCACUCUCCCUAAGCCGAGUGUCAUUUAACUUCUUUUCAAGUUCACUCUCCCUCAGCUGAGUGUCAUCUAACUUCUUUUCAAGUUCACUCUCCCUCAGCCGAGAGUCACCCAACUUCUUUUCAAGUUCACUCUCCCUAAGCCGAGUGUCAUUUAACUUCUUUUCAAGUUCACUCUCCCUCAGCCGAGUGUCAUCUAACUUCUUUUCAAGUUCGCCCUCCCUAAGCCAAGAGUCACCCAACUUCUUUUGAAGUUCUCUCUCUCUCAGCUGAGUGUCAUCUAACUUCUUUUCAAGCUCGCCCUCCCUAAGCCGAGACUCACCCAACUUCUUUUCAAGUUCUCUCUCUCUCAGCUGAGUGUCAUCUAACUUCUUUCAAGUUCACUCUCCCUCAGCCGAGAGUCACCCAACUUCUUUUCAAGUUCACUCUCCCUAAGCCGAGUGUCAUUUAACUUCUUUUCAAGUUCACUCUCCCUCAGCUGAGUGUCACCUAACUUCUUUUCAAGUUCACUCUCCCUCAGCCGAGUGUCAUCUAACUUCUUUUCAAGUUCUCUCUCCCUCAGCUGAGUGUCAUCUAACUUCUUUUCAAGUUCACUCUCCCUCAGCCGAGAGUCACCCAACUUCUUUUCAAGUUCACUCUCCCUAAGCCGAGUGUCAUUUAACUUCUUUUCAAGUUCUCUCUCCCUCAGCUGAGUGUCAUCUAACUUCUUUUCAAGUUCACUCUCCCUCAGCCGAGUGACACCUAACUUCUUUUCUAGUUCACUAUUUUUUAUUUGUAAAACAUCAGAAUCAUUUCUUAGUGUAUAUUCCUUUAAUUUGAAAUCAUCCAGCUGCUUCCUUAGUUUACUGUCCUUCAUUUCAUAAUCAUCCAGUUGCUUUCCUAGUUUACCCACUCUUUGUGUGGAAGUAUCCAGUUCCUUUCUUAGUAUAAGCUCAUUACUUUUGAAAGUGUCUAGCUCCUUUCUUAGUUCACUUUCUCUCAGUUGACCAGCAUCCAACUUUUCAUUUAGUUCACUCUCUCUCACCCGAGAGUCCUCCAGCUUCUUUUCAAGUUCACUCUCUCUCAGCUGAGAGUCAUCCAACUUCUUUUCAAGUUCACUUUCUCUCUGUUGUAAGGUCUCCAUCUUCAUUUUUUGUUCGUUAAUAUGCUGGUCUUUUUGUCUUUUUUCAUCCUUGCAUUCAUCCAGUAAGGUCUUUAUAUAUAAAAUUCUUUUCUUUUCCCAUGGUUCAAAUUUAUUCAUAAGUUCUGCAUAGGCUGGUGGAAUAAAGAACUUGCUGUUUGUGUUAGCUAUCAUAUUCUCAACUUUCCUGAAAAGAUUCUGAACACUGCUAUCAGUGUCCUCUAGAAAGUGGCGCCUUUUCCCACAUUUCAAAACACACUUCAUUGAGGCAGGCUCAGAAGUUUUUUCUCCAUCUCCUCUAAUGAACAGCACCAUACUGUAGUCGAAUGCCUCUUUCCCAAACACUGAAGCAACUGCUUUUAAAAGGAGAUGCACUUUUCCAGGGUCCUGUCCAUCUCUAAUCACCAAAAGGAAUGCAUUAGGCCCAGGGAACACCAAUGAUGCACAUUUCUGAAGGUCAUUUUUGAUACUUUUGACUCUCCUGGAAAAAAAGAAUGAUUUCAAGUGCUUCAACCAUGGAGAAGGACUAAUUGCCACAGUGACAUGUCUUCCCUGGACAUGGUUCUCCUUCACCUCCCACCCUUCCAGAUCAG